rnacentral:rRNA from 1 species
CAAUAGCGUAUAUUUAAGUUGUUGCAGUUAAAAAGCUCGUAGUUGGAUUUCGGUUAAGAGCGACCUGUCCGCCGUUUGGUGUGCACUGGUUGGUUUUAACUUCCUGUAGAGGACGUGCUCUGGGUUUAACGACCUGGACUCGGAGUCUACGUGGUUACUUUGAAAAAAUUAGAGUGUUCAAAGCGGGCUUACGCUUGAAUAUUUCAGCAUGGAAUAACACUAUAGGACUCCUGUCCUAUUUCGUUGGUCUCGGGACGGGAGUAAUGAUUAAGAGGAACAGUUGGGGGCAUUCGUAUUUCAUUGUCAGAGGUGAAAUUCUUGGAUUUAUGAAAGACGAACUUCUGCGAAAGCAUUUGCCAAGGAUGUUUUCAUUNA